GCCGAUGUAGUUCAAUGGUAGAACUUCUGCUUCCCAAGCAGACAGCGCGGGUUCGAUUCCCGUCAUCGGCUCCACCA
rnacentral:tRNA from 1 species